UACGGAGGGUGCAAGCAUUGAUCGGAAUUACUGGGCGUAAAGCGUGCGCAGACGGUUAUAUAAGUCGGGUGUGAAAGCCCCGGGCUCAACCUGGGAAUUGCAUUCGAGACUGUGUAGCUAGGGUACGGAAGAGGGAAGCGGAAUUUCAGGUGUAGCGGUGAAAUGCGUAGAUAUCUGAAGGAACACCAGUGGCGAAAGCGGCUUCCUGGUCCAGCACCGACGUUCAGGCACGAAAGCGUGGGGAGCAAACAGG
rnacentral:rRNA from 1 species